rnacentral:lncRNA from 1 species
CCAGCAUCUCCAGGGCAGAAAGCUCAGAUGAAGAGACCAAGGCCCAGCGAGGGAUCCUAUAGAAAGAGUAAAAGUAAAGCCAAUGAGCAUGUGUCAGAGGAGGAGUCCCCCACAGAAGGAGUGGCAGGAGUUCCCCGGCGCAAGCGCUCCUGUCUGCCGCAAUGUAAGACGUGGUUUUGCUGCUCAUUUGCCUUCCGCCAUGACUGUGAGGACUCUCCAGCUAUGUGGAACGGAAAUAGAGUCUCAUGUGUCACACAGGCUGAAGUUCAGUGGCGCAAUCAUAGCUCAUUGCAGCCUUGACUUCUUGUGUUCAAGGGAUCCUCCCACCUCAGCCUCCCAAGUAGCUGGGACUAUAGGUAUGUGUCACCACAGCCAGCUAAUUAAAAAAGAUUUUUUUUC